AGUGGAAGGAGGGAGUGGGCAACAGGUGGCCUCACGUCUUGAUGACAGAUGGAAAAUAAGGGGCGUGGCCACACCCAGGGACAGUGCUGGGAUGGAGCGGCUGCUUUAUGAGGUGGUGACCUUCCUGUGCUCUCAGCCGCCUGGUAGAGCCAGCUGCUAACAGUCAGAAGGAGACUGAGGAUGAAGGGAUGUGACCAGGGAAUGAGAGAGUUCUAGUUCAGCGUUUCUCAGACGCGGCCCCUCCAGAUGGUCUGAGGCUCAGCUCUGCUCCGGACUCAUGUUUAUACGAUGACAUCAUCAAUAUUUUUUCUGGAUGAAUUAAUAAUCUGCCUGCCAUUGUAUUUUGGAAAAACCAGACAUCACCUCAUGGACGUCUCACCGAAAGGGAGUGUCAUUUAUUCCACUCAUUCUGGCAAAUUUUCUAUUUAGGUUUGGUGGCAGAAGGAAGAAGGGUUUGGAGAGGAGGCUUUUUGUCCGGUCGAAGGGUGUCACUGGUCCACAGGAUGACAAGCCCAUUCCAAGGAAUCUUCAAGAGCGAUGCCCGAUGGAGCCCAGCCACCGGGAUAAACGGUGUAAGGAGGGGCGUGUCAGCUUCCUCCUGUGUACUGUGGGGACUUCACACAGGCCUCUUCCCUUUGAGACAUGUUCUGGGACACCGAAUACUGCGGUAGCAUCUCGCUGGAACGGACCCGCGGUGGCAGCAAGUCUCUCUCUUUGCUUUUGGUAGAAAAUCAGGAUAGUUUGUAAAGAUUUCUCAGUGUGAGACUGUGUAAACCAUCCCUUUGACCAAAACCCAAACCAGACAUUCCUUUCCCUCAAAAUACCUCUUGCUGUGAAAAACUUAAAGGGAAGUCCUGUCUGAAUUCCUGGUUUGGUCCUGCAGAGACUGUCCAUGUGCUGUUAGAGAAUGACUGCCCUCUUUUUGCGCCUGUUUUAUUGAGAUAUAGUUGACCUAUAACAUUGUGUUAAAGUCUUCUACCCUUGUUUUAAGAAUUUAAAUUAUUCACACUGUCAACACCUCACAUUUGAAUAAUCCUUUAUCUGUUUUUAUCUUCUUGAUAUGAUGGGGUUGACAAGGCG
rnacentral:lncRNA from 1 species